rnacentral:rRNA from 1 species
AUGGCCGCCGGCGGCGACCACCCGGACGCCAACAAGCGGAAGCGCGAGGCGGCGGGGAGGUCCAAGGCGCCGUCCAAGGGGGCCACCAAGCGGAGCAAGACCUACGGCGCCCCCGCCGCCAAGGCCGAGCCGCAGCCCGUCACCGCCAAGGACAAGCGGGUCGCCGCCAAGGAAAUGUCCGAGUCGAGGAAGAUGAAGAGGAAGCCCAAUUACAACCUUGAGAAGGAACUGGCAGUACUAUGGGAAAAGAUGAGAUGUGAUGUGAGCAAGGAGAAUAGAUCGAAGCUAGUAACCAAGGCUCUCCGUAAAAUGGAUGGCAAAUAUUUCGAAAUUGCUGGAUCCCAUGUAACCGCACGUGUUCUUCAAACAUGUGUCAAGUGGUGCUCACAGCCAGAGAGGGAUGCUGUUUUUGUUGCCCUGCAGCCACAUCUGCUCCAUCUUUCUCACAAGAAAUAUGCUGUUUUCCUUGUGAAGAAGCUCAUAAAAACUCGUUUGUUAGAAACAAUUUCCAAGCUUGGACUGCACAAAUCAUCUGUCCUGCAGUACAUGGCUACUGUUAUCCAGCCAGUUUUGGAAAAAGGCAUUGUUGAGUAUGCCAUAGUACACGUAGUCAUAUUGGAGUACUUAACAAUUGCGGAUAAGACAUCAGCCUUGGACGUGAUUCGUCAGUUAAUCCCCCAUCUUACUCAAGGGUCAUCUGUCGUAGAUGGAGAUGAACUAUCAGGUGUCGCUGAAGUACCAACAAAAUCAAAAGCUAAGAAGAAGAGAUCUUCAGAACCAUUUCUCAUUCGGAUCAUGCAGACGAGGGAAGGAUUAAAAUUAGGUCUUGCUUGCCUCAAGCAUGGCAGUCGAAGGAAGAAAAUUAUCAAAAGCUUGAAGGGGCAGGUUAUGAAGCUUGCUCUCAGUUAUUAUGGAUGCCUUUUUCUUGCUUGUCUUCUCUCCAUUGUUGAUGACACAAAACUUGUUACUAAGGUUGUAAUUGAAGAGCUGACAAAGCAGUUAAAGGAACUCAUAUUUGACAAGAACGGGAGACGCCCAUUGCUGCAGCUACUUCACCCACUUUGCUCACGUUAUCUGACUCCGACUGAUUUGAUUUGUCUGAAGUACCGUGUGCCUUCCCUUAUUUCAAAGGUUCUCAUCGAGACUUGCAUUGAAAAUGUUGGAGAGUUACUUCGAACAAACUUUGGCAAAGAUAUAUUAUAUGAGCACGCCUUUGAUAACUACCACUCGAGCCGCAUAAUCAGAAAGAUGAUACUUGAUUGCCCUGCGUUUGCCGCUACCCUAUGGAAAAAGGCCCUCAAAGGGAAGUGCAAGCCAUUUGCGGACGGAUUCAGCUCCAAGGUGGUGGCUGCCUAUAUGGAAUCUCCGGAUUCCAAGGUGGAGGAUCUUGCGAAAUCCGAGGCGCAGCCGCUCAUCAAGAGGCGGCGUCCGUGCUUGCAUGUUGGAUGA